CAAUAGCGUAUAUUAAUGUUGUUGCAGUUAAAAAGCUCGUAGUUGGAUUCCUGGCACGGGGUAGCCGGUCCGCCUUGCAAAAGGUGCGCACUGCGCGGCCUCGGCCAUCCUUGGGAAGAGCGGUCCUGGCAUUAAGUUGUCGGGGUCGGGAUUCCCGACGUUUACUUUGAGGAAAUUAGAGUGUUCAAAGCAGGCGACCGCCUUGAAUACGUUAGCAUGGAAUAAUAAUAUAGGACUUUGGCCCUAUUUUGUUGGUUUCUAGGACUAAAGUAAUGAUUAACAGGGAUAUUUGGGGGCGAUUUGUAUUAACCGGUCAGAGGUGGAAUUCUUGGAUUCGGUUACGACAAACUAAUGCGAAAGCAUUUGCCAAGGAUGUUUUCAUUGAUCAAGAACGAAAGUGUGGGGAUCGAAGACGAUUAGAUACCAU
rnacentral:rRNA from 1 species